UACAGAGGUGGCAAGCGUUGUUCGGAAUUACUGGGCGUAAAGCGUGCGCAGGCGGUUCGUUGUGUCGGUGGUGAAAGCCCCGGGCUUAACCUGGGAAUGGCCAUGGAAACUGGCGAACUGGAGUGUGGCAGAGGGGGGUGGAAUUCCGCGUGUAGCAGUGAAAUGCGUAGAUAUGCGGAGGAACACCGAUGGCGAAGGCAAUCCCCUGGGCCUGUACUGACGCUCAUGCACGAAAGCGUGGGGAGCAAACAGG
rnacentral:rRNA from 1 species